rnacentral:rRNA from 1 species
AGUGAACGCUGGCGGUAGGCCUAACACAUGCAAGUCGAACGGCAGCACAGUAAGAGCUUGCUCUUACGGGUGGCGAGUGGCGGACGGGUGAGGAAUACAUCGGAAUCUACUUUUUCGUGGGGGAUAACGUAGGGAAACUUACGCUAAUACCGCAUACGACCUACGGGUGAAAGCAGGGGAUCUUCGGACCUUGCGCGAUUGAAUGAGCCGAUGUCGGAUUAGCUAGUUUGCGGGGUAAAGGCCUACCAAGGCGACGAUCCGUAGCUGGUCUGAGAGGAUGAUCAGCCACACUGGAACUGAGACACGGUCCAGACUCCUACGGGAGGCAGCAGUGGGGAAUAUUGGACAAUGGGCGCAAGCCUGAUCCAGCCAUACCGCGUGAGUGAAGAAGGCCUUCGGGUUGUAAAGCCCUUUUGUUGGGAAAGAAAAGCAGCAGAUUAAUACCCCGCUGUUCUGACAGUACCCAAAGAAUAAGCACCGGCUAACUUCGUG